AUUGAACGCUGGCGGCAGGCCUAACACAUGCAAGUCGAGCGAGCGGCGGACGGGUGAGUAAUGUCUGGGCAUCUGCCUGAUGGAGGGGGAUAACUACUGGAAACGGUAGCUAAUACCGCAUACCAUCAGAUGUGCCCAGAUGGGAUUAGCUAGUAGGUGGGGUAAUGGCUCACCUAGCCGACGCUCCCUAGCUGGUCUGAGAGGAGGACCAGCCACACGGGAACGGAGACACGGUCCAGAAUCCUACGGGAGGCAGCGGUGGGGAAUAUUGCACAAUGGGCGCAAGCCUGAUGCAGCCAGGCCGCGUGUGUGAAGAAGGCCUUAGGGUUGUAAAGGACGUUCAGCGAGGAGGCGUUACUCGCAGAAGAAGCACCGGCUAACUCCGUGCCAGCAGCCGCGGUAAUUC
rnacentral:rRNA from 1 species